rnacentral:rRNA from 1 species
UACGAAGGGGGCUAGCGUUGCUCGGAAUCACUGGGCGUAAAGCGCACGUAGGCGGCUUUCUAAGUCAGGGGUGAAAUCCUGGAGCUCAACUCCAGAACUGCCUUUGAUACUGGAGAGCUCGAGUCCGGAAGAGGUGAGUGGAACUGCGAGUGUAGAGGUGAAAUUCGUAGAUAUUCGCAAGAACACCGGUGGCGAAGGCGGCUCACUGGUCCGGUACUGACGCUGAGGUGCGAAAGCGUGGGGAGCAAACAGG